rnacentral:rRNA from 1 species
GACGAACGCUGGCGGCGUGCUUAACACAUGCAAGUCGAACGGAAAGGCCCUGCUUUUGUGGGGUGCUCGAGUGGCGAACGGGUGAGUAACACGUGGGUAACCUGCCCUUGACUUUGGGAUAACUUCAGGAAACUGGGGCUAAUACCGGAUAGGAGCUCCUGCUGCAUGGUGGGGGUUGGAAAGUUUCGGCGGUUGGGGAUGGACUCGCGGCUUAUCAGCUUGUUGGUGGGGUAGUGGCUUACCAAGGCUUUGACGGGUAGCCGGCCUGAGAGGGUGACCGGCCAAAUGGGGACUGAGAGACGGCCCAGGCCCCUAGGGGGGGGAGGAGGGGGGAAUUUUGAAAAAUGGGCGGAAGCCUGAUGACGCAACGCCGGGGGCGGGAGGACGGCCUUCGGGUUGUAAACCGCUUUCGCCUGGGACGAAGGGGGAGGGACGGUAAUGGGUAAAGAAGCACCGGCUAACUACGU